rnacentral:rRNA from 1 species
GUGGGGAAUAUUGGACAAUGGGGGGAACCCUGAUCCAGCCAUGCCGCGUGUGUGAAGAAGGCCUUUUGGUUGUAAAGCACUUUAAGCGAGGAGGAGGCUACCGAGAUUAAUACUCUUGGAUAGUGGACGUUACUCGCAGAAUAAGCACCGGCUAACUCUGUGCCAGCAGCCGCGGUAAUACAGAGGGUGCAAGCGUUAAUCGGAUUUACUGGGCGUAAAGCGCGCGUAGGUGGCCAAUUAAGUCAAAUGUGAAAUCCCCGAGCUUAACUUGGGAAUUGCAUUCGAUACUGGUUGGCUAGAGUAUGGGAGAGGAUGGUAGAAUUCCAGGUGUAGCGGUGAAAUGCGUAGAGAUCUGGAGGAAUACCGAUAGCGAAGGCAGCCAUCUGGCCUAAUACUGACACUGAGGUGCGAAAGCAUGGGGAGCAAACAGGAUUAGAAACCCCGGUAGUCC